UGGCAUCGAUGAAGAACGCAGCGAAAUGCGAUAAGUAAUGUGAAUUGCAGAAUUCAGUGAAUCAUCGAAUCUUUGAACGCACAUUGCGCCCUUUGGCAUUCCGAAGGGCAUGCCCGUUCGAGCGUCAUUCUAACCAAAUCAAGCCCGGCUUGGUGUUGGGCGUCGGGGUGACCCGCGCCCCGAAUCGAUGGGCCCUCAAACGAGGUGGCCGACCGCCUAGCGUAGUGACUAAACUCCCGCACAGCGUGACCGCCUCUGCCCUAAAUGCACUGGUAACUUUUACCAACAGGUUGACCUCGGAUCGGGUAGGGAUACCCGCUGAACUUAA
rnacentral:rRNA from 1 species